rnacentral:rRNA from 1 species
UACGGAGGAUCCGAGCGUUAUCCGGAUUUAUUGGGUUUAAAGGGUGCGUAGGCGGCCUUUUAAGUCAGCGGUGAAAGUCUGUGGCUCAACCAUAGAAUUGCCGUUGAAACUGGGGGGCUUGAGUAUGUUUGAGGCAGGCGGAAUGCGUGGUGUAGCGGUGAAAUGCUUAGAUAUCACGCAGAACCCCGAUUGCGAAGGCAGCCUGCCAAGCCAUGACUGACGCUGAUGCACGAAAGCGUGGGGAUCAAACAGGAUUAGAUACCCGGGUAGUCC